UCUCUCUGGAACCCGGGGGAACACUCCCUUUGAUAGAGAAAGACUCUCUCUCUCUCUCUCUCUCUCUCUCAAACCACCUUUGCUUCUAUCUCUUUACUUUCCUUCCUCCCAAGUCACCAUCGGCGGCAACGGUUUGAUCAUCAGAAAAGAGAUUGGUCAUGUUGUGACCAUAAUCGGUGAAUCAAAGGUUUCGAUUUUUUUUUCUAGAUUAUAAUGGAUACAAUCAAUAUUGAUCCAGGUAUGGAUCUAGUAGAUGGUGUUGUCUUUUUUUUUUUCUCUUAUAUUAAUUCGGGUCGGGAUGUUACAGAGGUCAAUUUUCAGUUAUGGUUAGAUCCACUGUCACUAUAUCAAAAUGCCUAAUUGCUGACAUCUUUCUUUGCUAUAGUGUGUGUCAUCAAGUGAGCACUUUCUUUGCAAUAGAAUGCUGGAAGUUAAAGUGGCUACCCCAAAGGUCAGAUCAUCUCACUUUUUUGUUUGACUUGCAGCUAAAAUUGUGCAUAAUGGAUUGUUUACACUUUCAAUUUAACGGGUAUGAGAUGGAUGGGCAUUCUACAUGUGUAGAAUUGCAAUAGGAUAUUUAGUAGUUGCCUUGUGCGAGAUUUGGCUAAAGGGUGAUGGUACUGUUAGUUCAGGAUCAGGAAGUAUAAACUUCAGUUGUUAUGGCAUUGAUGAUAACUGUGACAUAUCUAUCAUUGAUGGCCAUUGUUAAUUACCUGCUUGGUUGGUUUGCAUUACGGUCACAUCAUUAACCAUUUUAAGGUCAUCAAAACAGAGUUCUGCACUAGACUAUGUCAUCCACGUCUGUCGUAGUCUAGGCCUCGCCUUAGACUUAUUUGAUAUGCAUAUAAACAAGGCUCUCUACACAUUCAGUGGAACAUGUGUAUGGCAGCUGGUUCUGCCGGCAUUAUCUUUGCUGGAAUUUACAUAAUGGUUGAUGUUUGUGGCUACCGGCAUCCAACUAUUGUGUUGGAGUGGAUGGGGAAGCAUGCACUGUCUAUUUUUAUUUUGUAGCUUGCAAUCUCUUGCCGGUUAUUCUCCAUGGAAUCUAUUAGGGCAAACCUCAUAAUAACAUUCUCACCUGAAUUGGAAUUGGAAAAUGAACUGAUGGAGGCUAGUUGCUUGAGUUAUACAAGUUUGAGUUUGACUAAUUUUGUUGCAUUUGGAGACGAAGAGAGACAAUUUGGAGUUUGGUCUUUUUGUAGAGGAGGCAUCACAUUCUCUCUCCCUCUUACUCUCUUCCAUGUAUUCAUAGUGCUCCUUUUUGGCAAUAUUGUCUAAUACAUUUCAGUACAAUUAUGUGGAUUAUAACAAUAUUAGAUAUAUAUUGGUAAUUACUGUUCAUUUGGUGAUUUUUGAUUUCA